rnacentral:lncRNA from 1 species
GGCAUGUCACCACCUCCAAACAGCGUAUCCCAGGGACCAAUGAAAAUCGAAGUGAGGAACUGCGAGAACACACAGACAAGAGAAAUUAGCACGAGGUUUGUGGCACUUUUUUAUUUUCUUUUGCUUUCGGCAUACGGACUGACCUGUGGGAUCACAAUAGCUAGAUUGAGUACUCCAACGUACAAGCCUGCGUGCAUCGAAUGGAAAAUUUACGUCUCGCAAGGAAUGCAUUCGAUCAAACAAAGACGUGACAAGUUGGAUGAUCACGUACCUUGACCCCCACCG